rnacentral:lncRNA from 1 species
GUACCUUCAUCUAUACCUCUAUUUUUAAUUUAGUAAUGCAAGUAUUAUCAAUCUUGCACUACCUCCCUUAAUAGUACAUGCAUGUGAAACAAUAGUACAUACCUGUGAACAAAUAGUUAUAAGCAUGUGAAUUAAUAGCAAUUAAUUGCUCAUUUAUCCGAUUAAUUAUUCGAUUGGUCAAUAUAACCUUCAGACAUCAAUUAUUAUCGAAAUAAAUGUCGAUUUCCACUAACACUAAUAAUUUCAACACAAUUAAAAUAUCAAUUUCAUCUUUAACCAACACGAACUUAUUCAUCAUUAAUAUUAUAACUCAUAAUAUUUAACAACCAGAUUAUUUCCAAUAAAGAG